rnacentral:rRNA from 1 species
CAGUCGCCGCGGGAAUACGUAGGUCCCGAGCGUUGUCCGGAUUUAUUGGGCGUAUAGCGAGCGCAGGCGGUUAGAUAAGUCUGAAGUUAAAGGCUGUGGCUUAACCAUAGUACGCUUUGGAAACUGUUUAACUUGAGUGCAAGAGGGGAGAGUGGGAUUCCAUGUGUAGCGGUGAAAUGCGUAGAUAUAUGGAGGAACACCGAUGGCGAAAGCGGCUCUCUGGCUUGUAACUGACGCUGAGGCUCGAAAGCGUGGGGAGCAAACAGGAUUAGAUACCCCUGUAGUCCCUGUCUCUUAUACA